rnacentral:rRNA from 1 species
AGUGAACGCUGGCGGUAGGCCUAACACAUGCAAGUCGAACGGCAGCACAGUAAGAGCUUGCUCUUACGGGUGGCGAGUGGCGGACGGGUGAGGAAUACAUCGGAAUCUACUUUUUCGUGGGGGAUAACGUAGGGAAACUUACGCUAAUACCGCAUACGACCUACGGGUGAAAGCAGGGGAUCUUCGGACCUUGCGCGAUUGAAUGCGCCGAUGUCGGAUUAGCUAGUUGGCGGGGUAAAGGCCCACCCAGGCGACGAUCCGUAGCUGGUCUGAGAGGAUGGUCAGCCACACUGGAACUGAGACACGGUCCAGACUCCUACGGGAGGCAGCAGUGGGGAAUAUGGGACAAUGGGCGCAAGCAUGAUCCAGCCAGACCGCGUGGGUGAAGAAGGCCUUCGGGUUGUGAAGCCCGUUUGUUGGGAAAGAAAAGCAGCAGGUUAAUACCCCGCUGUUCUGACGGUACCCAAAGAAUAAGCACCGGCUAACUUCGUG